CGGUAAUUCCAGCUCCAACAGUGUAUAUUAACACUGCUGCGGUUGAAACGCUCGUAGUUGGGAAUUUGUUGUAUAUUAUUGGUCUAUCCUAGUGGUCAGUACUGUAUAUGAAAGCAGCAUCGUCUUGAUUAUCUUUCUACACUUAACUGUGUAUUAUGUUGAAUCAAUCCGUAUACUUUGAAGAAAUGAGAGUGUUUCAAGCAACUUUAUUCAAGGAUAUAUUAGCAUGGAAUAAUACAUUACGACCUCAUAUUGUGUCUGUUGGUUGUCGAGAUCGGGUAACAAGGAGGGGGACAAUUGGUGGUAUGUAUAUUGCACAGUCAGAGGUGAAAUUCUUGGAUUUUUGCAAGAUGAUCGAUUGCGAAAGCAUUUGUCAAGAGUGUUUUUAUUGACCAAGAACGAAAGUUAAGGGAUCGAAGACGAUCAGAUACCGUUGUAGUCUUAAUCGUAAACCAUGUCGCCUAGAAAUUGGCGGGUAUAUAUUAUCAUCCCGUCAGCAACUUGAGAGAAAUCACAGUUUUUGGAUUCCGGGGGGAGUAUGAUCACAAGAUUGAAACUUAAAGGAAUUGACGGAAAGGCACCACCAGGAGUGGAGCGUGCGGCUUAAUUCGACUCAACACUGGAAAAUUUAUCAGGUCCGAACAUAGAAACGAUUGACAGAUUGAUUGGCUUUUCUUCAUUCUGUGGGUGGUGGUGCAUGGCCGUUCUUAGUUGGUGGAGUGAUUUGUCUGGUUAAUUUCGAUAACGAUCGAGAUCUUGACCUGCUAAAUAGAUGCAAGAUGUAUAUAUAAUCGUGUGAACUUCUUAGAGGAAAUAUUUGUGUAAAGCAGAAGGAAGAUUAAGGUAAUAACAGGUCUGUGAUGCCCUUAGAUGUCUUGAGCUGCACGCGCGCUACACUGAAGCACUUCACAAGGAAUUCAUCUGGUUUGAAAGGAGUGGGAAAUCUUAUCUCUGUGCAUCGUGAUGGGGCUUGUUUAUUGUAAUUAUUGAACAUUAACGAGGAAUCCCUAGUAAGUAUAUAUCAUCAGUCUGUUCUGAUUAAGUCCCUGCCCUUUGUACACACCGCCCGUCGCUCCUACCGAUCGAGGGAUCCGGUGAAUACUUAAGACAUUGAGAAGCAAUCGAAAGAUUACUCUCAUAGAAAUGUGAGUGAGUCUUAUCACUUAGAGGAAGGAGAAGUCGUAACAAGGUAGCCG
rnacentral:rRNA from 1 species